UGGGGAAUAUUGGACAAUGGGGGCAACCCUGAUCCAGCAAUGCCGCGUGAGUGAUGAAGGCCUUCGGGUUGUAAAGCUCUUUCGGCGGGGAAGAUGAUGACGGUACCCGCAGAAGAAGCCCCGGCUAACUUCGUGCCAGCAGCCGCGGUAAUACGAAGGGGGCUAGCGUUGUUCGGAAUUACUGGGCGUAAAGGGCGCGUAGGCGGUGCUGUAAGUCAGGCGUGAAAUCCCCGGGCUCAACCUGGGAAUUGCGCAUGAUACUGCGGCGCUGGAAUGCGGGAGAGGAUGGCGGAAUUCCCAGUGUAGAGGUGAAAUUCGUAGAUAUUGGGAAGAACACCGGUGGCGAAGGCGGCCAUCUGGCCCGUAAUUGACGCUGAGGCGCGAAAGCGUGGGGAGCAAACAGGAUUAGAUACCCCCGUAGUCC
rnacentral:rRNA from 1 species